UGUGGAGCUCGAUCCCAGGACUCUGGGAUGACAACCUGAACUGAAAGCAGGGUUUCCUGAAUGAUUUCUGGCAUCUAGAAUGUUACAGCCCUGCAUUGAACAAUUAAACUAGUAGAUAGGUUGCAGUCAGCUUAAUAUUUCAUCUCUGAGGCCUCUUGGCAAAAGUAUGUAUUGGUAGCUUUAGAGUGAAGAAACCUGGCAGCCUUACCCAGAUGAACAAAGUUAACCUCAUCGGUGAGGGGCCACACCUGGAACUUGGCAUUACCCAAGAGGCUGCAGCGUGAAGAAUGGCACUGUUUUCAGUGAUACGCCUCCGAAAGAUGUAGGACGCCAGUCAGACCGGGAAGAAACACCACAGACCGAUCCCAGUGGAGGCACACUGUAUAUAACUUUCCUGCAGUCCUCAAAAAUACGAAGAUUGUAAAGGUCAAGGCAAGGGAGGACUGAGGAAUUGUGCUGGGUUCAAUGGAACAAGAAACUUAAAUACAGUUUGUGCUCCUGGUUUGGACCCUUCUGCCAGGAAAGAUGUUGAGACAGGUGGUGAAACUUGAAUGGGAUCUCUGAGUGAGGGGUGUAUGGAAAUUUUUUGUACUAUUAUUGCAACUUUUCUGUUGUAAGGGUCAGAUGAAAUAAUAUCUUCAAUCAUACUUCUGGGAAUCAAAAUGAAGACAAGCCAUUAAGGAGACUGCUGGCAAGAUUGUGACAGUGUAAGAAUUGUCCAGAGGGGGGCGCCUGGGUGGCUCAGUAGGUGAAGCGUCUGCCUUAGGCUUGGGUCUUGAUCUCAAGGUUUUGGGA